ensembl:rRNA 5S_rRNA 5S ribosomal RNA
ACCUAUAGCCAUACCACCCUGAACACACCCAAUCUCAUCUGAUCUCCAAAGCUAAACAGGGUUGGGCCUAGUUGGUACUUGGAUGAGGAAACUUACAAAUGUGGGAA